AUGCGGCCGGCCGUGACGCACGACGACCUGUCCCUCCGCAAGGCGCAGGAGCGCCGGGCGGGGCGCUCCGGCAGCCAGAUCGCCGUCGGCCUCGUCGCGCUCUCCGUGCUCUGCGGCCUCGUCAGCUUCAUCCUCUGCCUCGCCGCCGAGGGCUCGCGCUCCGAGGUGUCCAACUACCUGAUGACCGUGGCCGGGAGCGGGGCGCAGGUGGAGCUGUGCUUCUACAACGGCAGCGGCCGCUCGGCGCUCGCCUUCUCCAUCGGCGCCUUCCUGCUGCUGGCCGUCGCCAUGUUCGCCGUGCACGCCUACAUGCUCCUCGCCGUCGCUUCGCCGGACUCCGCCGCCGCAGGCCUCGCCGUCGCUGAGGACCACCCCCGCGUGUCCUCCGCCACCAACACCCUCACCUGGCAAACCUGCUGCCUCUUCUUCGUCACAUGGUACGGAAAUUACUUUCAAGCGCCGCGAAACCAUGCCAUGCAUUGGGCAAGAAGAAUGGUGGUGUGGAUUAAUAAUAAGAGCACACUCGUCGAUGGGUGCAGGAUUUGCUUCGGGCUCGCGGAGGUGCUGCUCAUGAUCGGGAUCGGGGUAGAGUCCGGCCACGUCAGCGACUGGCGGAGGCCGCGGCAGGUGUGCCACCGGGUGCGCCCGGGGAUGUUCGCGGCGGCGGGGAUACUGGGGCUCAUCACCGUCGUCGUCGGCUUCGUCGUCUACGUGACCGCAGUGCACACGCAGAAGCUGCUGCGGCAGCACGGCGGCGGCCACUACGCCCCGCACCCCGGCAGCGCCCCCUACCCCAGCGGUGCACCAUACCCCGGCGUCCAGCAGCACCACCUGCAGCCGCCGGUGUCGUACCCACCACACCCGGCCCCGCACCCACACCCUCAUCCGGCGCCGAAUGCGCCGGAGAUCACGGCCGCCGCUUGCCAGGUUCAGUCCAGCAACGCGUGGUGCAUCACCAAGGACAAGGAGUACACCGAUGUUUAA
rnacentral:rRNA from 1 species